rnacentral:snoRNA from 1 species
AUUAAAACUAUCCACACUUUGAGGGGCCAGCUAGUGCCUCUCUCAGGAAAGUAGCAACUUGGAGUAAAACUGGGCGUGCCUGAGGUCUUUGGAGAACAGUGGAUGCUCAUUUCCUCUGCCUUUCCUUGGCUGCCUACAGGU